GCCCCAGCCCCUCCCAGGGCCACACUGGGAGGGGGUCGGUCCUGGGCUCCAGACCUGCCCUGGUCAGAGUUGCAGGGCCAGGUUGGAUGAAACCCCUCCCUCUGAUUAGAAGGCUAGAAUUUUCCAGUAAAAGGGACAGAGUGAACCCUCUGUGGGCUCCACCUCAAUGUACAAACCAGGCCACAGCAAGGGGGAUAACUGGCACCCAGACACCAGCAGGCAGGAGCAAAGCCGGGGUGGACCUAGCCUGCCCUCACCCCAAGCAGAAGAGAAAGUGGUCUUAUUUAUUUGGAGCAAGGAUCCCUGGCAGGGGCUGGAGAAUAGGGGUGAGGAUCCAGGCAGGAGAUUCAGUGGCUCGGACUACCUUCAAUGGGCUGGGAGAAGUGGCUAGAUUCUGAAGUAUUGUGAAGCUGGAACCAACAAAACCCACUGAUGGAUGAGAUGAAGGUGAGGCAGGAAGAGGGGCCCAGAGCUUCUGGCCAAGCAGCUGGACAGGUGGCAGUGAGGGCCGGCUGUGAGGUGUAGGCUGCAGGGGAAGGUGGGAGCCCUGCUGGCCAUGAGAGUUUGAGGGUGAAGAGGCAGCUGAGGACAUGCCUUGGAGUUCACACAAGGGGUCUGAGUGGGAAUACUAACUUGAGAAUGGUCAGAUGGCUGAGGCCACCCAGGGGAGAGAUCACACGGAGAGGAGGCCAAGGACCAGCUCCUGGGAGAUUCCAGGGAUAAGCAGUUGGGGAGAGGAGAAGCCAGUGAAGGAGAGAGAGGACGCAUAAGGGAGGUGGGGAGCCACAGAG
rnacentral:lncRNA from 1 species